AAAGGCGAUAGAGAGAGUGUCAGAGCGCUGUUGCGCUAGUCCGAAUGGGGACUUUUAUUAUGAAGCGCGCUCAUCGCGCAUAGCCGGAAGAGACACUGUUCAUGACUCUGAGAUCGGCAGACCGCCUCAGCUGCUGCUAGCGAUCAGGUUUCUGCAUAAAUAAGUGCUGGAGAUGUGCAUCAUCAUCCACAUAUGUCUUAGUUUGAAUGUAUCUUGUGAUGUGUGCGUCCUAUACGAAGAAACCACACCUUCAUCGCAGUCAUACAUUUCAUGCUUCAUCUGAUAAGCACCAAGCUUUCACAAGGAGACCAGAUUAUUUAAAGACUGUGCUUAAGUUUCGCCUCUAACUGGCUCACGCCUCCAGUCAUUCUCAGCAACUUGUGUCUGCUCAUCUGCAGUAGCCUCAGAGCUCAUCGCUGUCAAACCUUAUCCACUGGGUGGUCACUGCGGUCCUCAAGCUUUUGGUCCACAUCUUGUCAGUGGACACGGUCUGAUGUGCAUGUAAAGGCUGACUCCCCCUCUGAGUUGAUCAUACUAUAUCUGUGAAAAUAAACCUGUUCAAACUGA